AGGGACCAAAUUCCUCCAUGAUCUGCUUCAAUUACUGCCUCCAGGUUCCUGCCUUGAAUUCCAGUCCUGGCUUCCCUCAAAGAUGCACUAGGGCAUCAGAUACUACAACCUGGCCAUCAGCCCCCCCCCCCAUGCCUGCUUUCUCUCCGUGGACCCCACUUUUCUGUCUCCUCCUCUGCACAGCAUCUCAAUGAAUUAGCCUGAGAGCUGUACCCAAUAAACCUGCCUUUAUAUACUUUA
rnacentral:lncRNA from 1 species